rnacentral:rRNA from 1 species
CCUACGGGUGGCUGCAGUGGGGAAUAUUUCUCAAUGGGGGCAACUCUGAUGCAGCGACGCCGCGUGCGUGAAGAAGUAAUUCGUUAUUUAAAGCUCUAUCAGCAGGGAAGAAAACGACGAUACCUGAGUAAGAAGCCCCGGCUAACUACGUCCCAGCAGCCGCGGCAAUACGUCGGGGGCACGCGUUAUCCGGAUUUACUGGGUGUAAAGGGAGUGUAGUCGGCAGUGCAAGUCUGGAGUGAAAUGCGGGGGCUCAACCCCCGGACUGCUCUGGAAACUGUACGGCUAGAGUGCAGGAGGGGUAAGUGGAAUUCCUAGUGUAGCGGUGAAAUGCGUAGAUAUUAGGAGGAACACCAGUGGCGAAGGCGGCUUACUGGACUGUAACUGACGUUGAGGCUCGAAAGCGUGGGGAGCAAACAGGAUUAGAUACCCGAGUAGUC